rnacentral:rRNA from 1 species
AGCGAACGCUGGCGGCAGGCCUAACACAUGCAAGUCGAACGAACUCUUCGUAGUUAGUUGCGGUUGCGUGAGUCACACGUGGGAACGUUCCUUUAUGCACCGGAUUCCACAGGGUCGCUUGGGCUAAUACAGGAUGAGCUACUCGGGGACAGGAUUCGUCGCCUUUAGGGCGGCCGGAGACUGUUUGGCCUGUUGGUGAGGGAAGGGCCGACCAAGGCGUAGAUCGGUAGCUGGGCUGAGAGGAUGAUCGGCCACAUUGGGGCUAAGACACGGCCGAAACUCCUACGGGAGGGAGCAGAGGGGAAUCUAGCGCAAUGGGGGAAGGCCUGACGCAGCCAGGCCGGGUAAGUGAUGAAGGUGUGAGGAUAGUAAAAUUCUUUAACCGGGGACGAUAAUGACGGUACCCGGAGAAGAAGCCCCGGCUAACUUCGUG